rnacentral:lncRNA from 1 species
GCCGGCCUAAUUUGAUAUUAUUUUUAGGAUGUUAACGCACAAUUUCUGUGAGCAUUUAGUAGCGAUAAAAGCAAAUCUAUCCGGAUGAAUUUUCAUACCUUGAUUUAUUUAAAUAUAGAUAAAAAUUUAAAUAUUUAAUUGAUAUCUAAAUUUUUAUCUAUAUUCAUUAAAAAAAAUAAAUAAAUAAUAUCUAAUUUAUAUCUAAAUAUCCGAUAACACUUAUAAUCAUAUUUUACUUAUCCGUGUUUAUAUCCAUACUUUCAAUCUUAAUAUUUAAAUAUUGAUAUUAAUAUAUAUAUCUUUUCUGUACUGAUAAAAAAUAUAAUAUUGAUUACACAUGUCUAACGUGAAGAUGAUCAAAAAGCCUUUAGGUUGAGUUUGGUACUCUAAUGCAUAUGCUGGACGUGGUAUGUUAAGAUGGGAAUAAAUAUCACCUUAGGUGCUAUUUGGUAUAUCACCACUGAUGUAAUCACUGGAGUGAUAUGAUCACUAGGAUGAUAUAAAUAUUGAGAUAAUAUGCAAAUACUAAGGUAAUAUAUAAUCAUUGUAUUUAGUAUAUCGCUGGAAUAUUAUUAAAAAUAAAACUUCAUUGUGUUUGGUAUAUCACCAAAU